rnacentral:rRNA from 1 species
GACGAACGCUGGCGGCGUGCUUAACACAUGCAAGUCGAACGAAGAGCGAUGGAAGCUUGCUUCUAUCAAUCUUAGUGGCGAACGGGUGAGUAACGCGUAAUCAACCUGCCCUUCAGAGGGGGACAACAGUUGGAAACGACUGCUAAUACCGCAUACGAUCUAAUCUCGGCAUCGAGGAUAGAUGAAAGGUGGCCUCUACAUGUAAGCUAUCACUGAAGGAGGGGAUUGCGUCUGAUUAGCUAGUUGGAGGGGUAACGGCCCACCAAGGCGAUGAUCAGUAGCCGGUCUGAGAGGAUGAACGGCCACAUUGGGACUGAGACACGGCCCAGACUCCUACGGGAGGCAGCAGGGGGGAAUCUUCCGCAAUGGACGAAAGUCUGACGGAGCAACGCCGCGUGAGUGAUGACGGCCUUCGGGUUGUAAAGCUCUGUUAAUCGGGACGAAAGGCCUUCUUGCGAAUAGUGAGAAGGAUUGACGGUACCGGAAUAGAAAGCCACGGCUAACUACGUG